rnacentral:sRNA from 1 species
UAUCUUCUUCAUCUUCUUCUUC